UGAUGAGCUAGUCUGGGUAGCUCGGCGUUACCUGUAACCCGAAAUCGCCGAUACGCGGGGGACGAAGCCAAAGGAAGAUGCGUCGAAGAGACUCCAGACUGGAAUCUCAACGGAGAAACCCCGUCCUGCUUGGAUGAUGCAGGUAUGCCGCCCUGAUGGAGAACAGGUCUUUAUACCCUAACUGCGGAAACCGGUCGAGCCCCGGAAGGCCGCAGACCCA
rnacentral:SRP_RNA from 1 species